rnacentral:misc_RNA from 1 species
AGCGGCCGCGGUAAUUCCAGCUCCAAUAGCGUAUAUUAAAGUUGUUGCAGUUAAAAAGCUCGUAGUUGAAUUUCGGGGUUAGUAGGUUGGUCAUGCCUCUGGUAUGUACUGGUCUCACUGAUUCCUCCUUCCUGAUGAGCCGUAAUGCCAUUAAUUUGGUGUUGCGGGGAAUUUGGACUGUUACUUUGAAAAAAUUAGAGUGUUUAAAGCAAGCUAACGCUUGAAUACAUUAGCAUGGAAUAAUGAAAUAGGACGUUCGAUCCUAUUUUGUUGGUUUCUAGGAUUGACGUAAUGAUUAAUAGGGAUAGUUGGGGGCAUUAGUAUUCAAUUGUCAGAGGUGAAAUUCUUGGAUUUAUUGAAGACUAACUACUGCGAAAGCAUUUGCCAAGGAUGUUUUCAUUAAUCAAGAACGAAAGUUAGGGGAUCGAAGACGAUCAGAUACCGUCGUAGUCUUAACCAUAAACUAUGCCGACUAGGGAUCGGAUGAUGUUAAUUUUUUAAUGACUCAUUCGGCGCCUUA